rnacentral:rRNA from 1 species
UAAAGCCCUUUAGGUUGGGAAGAAGUGCCUUAUCGGAUAAUGAUAGAGCAUUGACGGUACCGACAGAAUAAGCACCGGCAAACUCUGUGC